rnacentral:rRNA from 1 species
UACGUAGGGUGCGAGCGUUGUCCGGAAUUAUUGGGCGUAAAGAGCUCGUAGGCGGUUUGUCGCGUCUGCCGUGAAAGUCCGGGGCUCAACUCCGGAUCUGCGGUGGGUACGGGCAGACUAGAGUGAUGUAGGGGAGACUGGAAUUCCCGGUGUAGCGGUGAAAUGUGUAGAGAUCGGGAGGAACACCGGUGGCGAAGGCGGGUCUCUGGGCAUCUCCUGACGCUGAGGCGCGAAAGCGUGGGGAGCAAACGGG